AAAUUAUUUCUUCUUAAAAAAAAAAUCUGUUCUUAUCAGUUUAAUAUCUGAUACGUCCCCCAUCGGGGGACUACAUAUUAAAUGGAUUUUUCGAACAGGGAGUCGGAAAUGGGGCUUGCUCCGUCCGCUCCACGCAUCGACCCGGUAUUGCAGUACCUCCGGGAACGGUGCAACACUU
rnacentral:snRNA from 8 species